rnacentral:rRNA from 2 species
AGAUUAAGUUAUUAAGGGCGCACGGUGGAUGCCUUGGCACUAGAAGCCGAUGAAGGACGUUACUAACGACGAUAUGCUUUGGGGAGCUGUAAGUAAGCU